rnacentral:rRNA from 1 species
GAUGAACGCUGGCGGUAUGCUUAACACAUGCAAGUCGAACGGGUCCUUUCGGGGUUUAGUGGCGGACGGGUGAGUACGCGUGAGAACAUGCCCUUAGGUUCGGGACAACAGUUGGAAACGGCUGCUAAUACCGAAUGUGCCGAGAGGUGAAAGAUAUAUUGCCUAGGGAUUGGCUCGCGUCAGAUUAGCUAGUUGGUGGAGUAACGGUUUACCAAGGCGACGAUCUGUAUUUGGUCUGAGAGGAUGACCAGACACACUGGGACUGAGACACGGCCCAGACUCCUACGGGAGGCAGCAGUGGGG